CCGGCCGGGGCGCGGCUGGCUCCGCGGGUGGGAGCCCGGCAGAGGCCGCGCUCCAGCCCUGCCGUGAGGGAGGGCGCGCUGUGCUCCCGGCCGCGCCGCUCCUGAGCUCCGCUGCUUUCUGGUUUAGCCUCUUUGUUUCCCUUGUCCUGCUGCCAGCAGGGCAGACAGUGCGGGCAGUCAAGGAGCAGCUGCCUGCUGGAGCUCGGAGGCUCACGUCACACGGGCAGGGCUGCCGGGGCACAGCCAGCCGGCGAGGGGGUGAGAUCAGAGAUUUCUGUACCUCAGAGGACUUUGAGACUGGAGCUGAUUGUAGUCUUCACUCUGAAACUUGCUGUGAUCUUUUGUAGUAGCCAUGAAGGAUCUCAAAGGCUAUCAAACAAAGCUGCCCAACCUUACACUCAUCCAUCAUCCUUGAGUUAUUAAGAGAGUAGCUGCAGAACAUUUACAAGUGCAUAGGAUGGAUUGCUGGCUGCUUUUCAAGAACACAGUCAAUGCUACAAAAACUUUGCAAGAUGGCAAAUUUUCUCAUGUUUCCUGUUCCUUGCUCUGCUAGAACCUGCUAGAAGGAAUAGUUUCUUGAAUUUAAGGUUACUAAUCUAGGUUGAUGCCAAAGCUGUUACUCAUUCAUGUCUAA